rnacentral:rRNA from 1 species
GACGAACGCUGGCGGCGUGCUUAACACAUGCAAGUCGAACGGAAAGGCCCUGCUUUUGUGGGGUGCUCGAGUGGCGAACGGGUGAGUAACACGUGAGUAACCUGCCCUUGACUUUGGGAUAACUCCAGGAAACCGGGGCUAAUACCGGAUAGGAGCUCCUGCUGCAUGGUGGGGGUUGGAAAGUUUCGGCGGUUGGGGAUGGACUCGCGGCUUAUCAGCUUGUUGGUGAGGUAGUGGCUUACCAAGGCUUUGACGGGUAGCCGGCCUGAGAGGGUGACCGGCCACAUUGGGACUGAGAGACGGACCAGACGCCUACGGGAGGCAGCAGGGGAGAGCAUUGCAGAAUGGGCGGAAGCCUGAUGCAGAAGCGUCGCGUGCGGGAUAACGGCCUUCGGGUUGUAAACCGCUUUCGCCGGUGACGAAGAGUGAGUGACGGUAAUGGGUAAGGAAGCACCGGCUAACUACGUG